AGCGAACGCUGGCGGCAGGCCUAACACAUGCAAGUCGAACGAACCUUUCGGGGUUAGUGGCGGACGGGUGAGUAACACGUGGGAACGUGCCUUUAGGUUCGGAAUAACUCAGGGAAACUUGUGCUAAUACCGAAUGUGCCCUUCGGGGGAAAGAUUAAUCGCCUUUAGAGCGGCCUGCGUCUGAUUAGCUAGUUGGUUGAGGUAAUGGCUCACCAAGGCGACGAUCAGUAGCUGGUCUGAGAGGAUGAUCAGCCACAUUGGGACUGAGACACGGCCCAAACUCCUACGGGAGGCAGCAGUGGGGAAUCUUGCGCAAUGGGCGAAAGCCUGACGCAGCCAUGCCGCGUGAAUGAUGAUGGUCUUAGGAUUGUAAAAUUCUUUCACCGGGGACGAUAAUGACGGUACCCGGAGAAGAAGCCCCGGCUAACUUCGUG
rnacentral:rRNA from 1 species